GUUCCCCAUGAUGCUUCAAUAUACACCAUGCUAAUGCUGAUCAAUCCAUGAUCGAUCCCUUCUUUCAUAUGCUGAGGGAAUG